UNAAAAAGAUAGGAGUUGAACCUACGUC
rnacentral:tRNA from 1 species